AAUGGUCGCGCGAUGAUCGGUUGCAUAGUUCAAAUGAUCACCCCUUUGAGGGUAUGAUUAGUAUGAACGUCUUUCGCUCCUAUCUGAUGACCUAA